GACGAACGCUGGCGGCGUGCUUAACACAUGCAAGUCGGGCGGUAAGGCCCUUUCGGGGGUACACGAGCGGCGAACGGGUGAGUAACACGUGGGUGACCUGCCCCUAUGCUCUGGGAUAAGCCUGGGAAACUGGGUCUAAUACCGGAUAGGACUCGCCUCUGCAUGGGGGUGGGUGGAAAGCUCCGGCGGUACGGGAUGAGCCUGCGGCCUAUCAGCUUGUUGGUGGGGUGAUGGCCUACCAAGGCGA
rnacentral:rRNA from 1 species